CUACGGGCGGCUGCAGUGGGGAAUAUUGCACAAUGGGGGAAACCCUGAUGCAGCGACGCCGCGUGAAGGAAGAAGUAUUUCGGUAUGUAAACUUCUAUCAGCAGGGAAGAAAAUGACGGUACCUGACUAAGAAGCCCCGGCUAACUACGUGCCAGCAGCCGCGGUAAUACGUAGGGGGCAAGCGUUAUCCGGAUUUACUGGGUGUAAAGGGAGCGUAGGCGGCAUGGUAAGUCUGGUGUGAAAGGCAGGGGCUCAACCCCUGGACUGCAUUGGAAACUAUCAAGCUAGAGUGCCGGAGAGGUAAGUGGAAUUCCUAGUGUAGCGGUGAAAUGCGUAGAUAUUAGGAGGAACACCAGUGGCGAAGGCGGCUUACUGGACGGUAACUGACGCUGAGGCUCGAAAGCGUGGGGAGCAAACAGGAUUAGAUACCCCAGUAGUC
rnacentral:rRNA from 1 species